rnacentral:misc_RNA from 1 species
UACGUGGGGUGCAAGCGUUAUCCGGAUUUACUGGGCGUAAAGGGUCCGUCGGCGGCCUAGUAAGUUGUUGGUUUAAGCCUGGGGCUCAACUCCAGAACAGCCAACAAAACUACUAGGAUUGAGUAUGUUUGGGGUAGCUGGAAUUCUCGGUGGAGGGGUGAAAUCCGUAGAUAUCGAGAGGAACGCCAAUCGCGAAGGCAAGCUACUAAGACAUUACUGACGCUCAGGGACGAAAGCUAGGGUAGCAAAAGGG